rnacentral:lncRNA from 1 species
CAGGAGAUCCUGGGGUUACUGGACAGAUUACAGCUGGGCCGGGAGACCCACCGCAAAAUAAGGUGGGAGAUGGCAGUAGCACCCGCCGUGUCUCCACACGCAGAGGCACACAUAGACAGACAGACAAACAGACAGACUGCACGGCCUGCUGCUCAGUGCCUGCCUUCCGCUUCCCCACUAGCAUCAGCAGCAGGUGCUCCAGGCUGUGGACCGAGCCAAGCAGGUGACCGUGGGGGAACUGAACAACCUCUUGGGGGUGAGUCACCCCAGCCCAUAAUUGGAGACACCCUGCUCCCAGCCCAGGCACCCAGUGGGUACAGCAUUCACCCUCCGUGUACCCUGU